GACGAACGCUGGCGGCGUGGAUUAGGCAUGCAAGUCGAACGGUAUCAUCCUUUCGGGGGUGAGAGAGUGGCGAACUGGUGAGUAACACGUAGGUUAUCUACCCUCAAGACGGGGACAACCCAGGGAAACUUGGGCUAAUACCGGAUGUGAGCAACUUUUAGUUGUUUGAAAGGUGGCGUAAGCUGUCGCUUGGGGAUGAGCCUGCGUCCUAUUAGUUAGUUGGUGAGGUAACGGCUCACCUAGGCAAUGAUAGGUAGGCGGCCUUAACGGGUGGUCGCCCACACUGGGAUUGAGAUACGGCCCAGACUCCUACGGGAGGCAGCAGUCGAGAAUAGUCUACAAUGGUCGGAAGACUGAUGGUGCGACGCCGCGUGAACGAUGAAUCCCUUCGGGGUGUAAAGUUCUUUUAUAUGUGAGCAGUGCUUCUUAUAUUUAACAGUAUGGGGAAGAGAUAUUAGCAUAUGAAUAAGCAACGGCUAACUCCGUGCCAGCAGCCGCGGU
rnacentral:rRNA from 1 species